UGGGUUGGGAGCUGAAACAAGGAGCCCCUUCAGCACGCCCUGAGCUCUGCGGUGCGCACGGCACGGGGAGGGAAACCCAAGCUGCUGGGGGAAGCAGUGGCUGUGUGCACAGUGCUGGCAUGGGUCCGGAUGCAGCUGAGCACCGUCCCCACAGCCUGCCUGGCGCUGGGGAUGCUGCACAGAGCUGUGAGAGCCCCGCAGCAGAGCUGAGGAUGGAGCACGAUUCUGCCAAUACAUCAGCCAAAACUCUCUGCACCACCUGGAGGCUGCUGCUGCUGCUGCUUGGGAUCAUGGGGCUGCUGGCGGCAGCAGUGGCCGGGGCCUGGCUGCUGGGUCAGUACCUGCAGAACAGCCCCAGCUCUGUGCCCAGCACCCUGCCCAGCCACACGCCUCACCUGCUGCUCUCCUCUCCCAAAGGGUGGCACCUGGGGGGUCCACAGCCACACCAGGGCUUGGCCAAGCCACUGACAUCAGAUACUGUGACAGCAUGCAGUGAGGGCGAGGAGGAGGAGCCCGUGGUCCGCGGGGCACCUGGAGGAGGUUUCCCCCUUCCCACUGCCCCUGCUAAACCUGAGAUACUCCUGGAUAGCAUGCUGAACCUCUCUCCUAGCUCAGCUGCAUGCCGCAAUGGUUUCACUUUGCUUUUGCAUCCCCCUGCAUUCCCCAGCCUCAGUGCACGGCGUGGUCCCACCUUUGCAUGCGCCCUCUCAGCAGAGCUGGGCUGA
rnacentral:lncRNA from 1 species